GACGAACGCUGGCGGCGUGCCUAAUACAUGCAAGUUGAGCGCUGAAGGUUGGUACUUGUACCAACUGGAUGAGCAGCGAACGGGUGAGUAACGCGUGGGGAAUCUGCCUUUGAGCGGGGGACAACAUUUGGAAACGAAUGCUAAUACCGCAUAAAAACUUUAAACACAAGUUUUAAGUUUGAAAGAUGCAAUUGCAUCACUCAAAGAUGAUCCCGCGUUGUAUUAGCUAGUUGGUGAGGUAAAGGCUCACCAAGGCGAUGAUACAUAGCCGACCUGAGAGGGUGAUCGGCCACAUUGGGACGGAGACACGGCCCAAACUCCUACGGGAGGCAGCAGUAGGGAAUCUUCGGCAAUGGACGAAAGUCUGACCGAGCAACGCCGCGUGAGGGAAGAAGGUUUUCGGAUCGUAAAACUCUGUUGGUAGAGAAGAACGUUGGUGAGAGUGGAAAGCUCAUCAAGUGACGGUAACUACCCAGAAAGGGACGGCUAACUACGUG
rnacentral:rRNA from 1 species